GACGAACGCUGGCGGCGCGCCUAACACAUGCAAGUCGAACGGAGCGGCGAGAAGCUUGCUUUUCUUAGCUUAGGGGCGAACGGGUGAGUAACGCGUGUGUCACCUGCUCUGGAGUGGGGGACAACAAGGGGAAACGACUGAUAAUACCGCAUAAGCUCCCGAUCCGGGAUCGGAUUGGGGGAGAAGGAGUUGUUCGGUUCAGGAUGGACGCUCGUCCACUUGUCGAGUUGGUGGGGUAACGGCCCACCAAGGCGACGUAGGGUACCCGGGCUGAGAGGUUGCCCCGCCACAUUGGGGCUGCGGCACAGCCCAGACUCCUACGGGAGGGAGCAGUGGAGGAUAUUACGCGAUGGGGCAAGCCCUGAUGCAGCGACGCCGCGUAGAGGAAGAAUGUUUUCGUAUUGUAAACUCCUGUCGUAAGGGGCGAUAAUGACGGUACCUAACAAGAAAGCACCGGCUAACUACGUG
rnacentral:rRNA from 1 species